CGGAACAAACUGAAUUGCCAUGUAUUAUAACUUUGUACAGACAUAAUGCAGAGGUCUGAAUGAUGUUGAUUGUUAUGUUGUUUCAGAGCAUUUUGAAGGUUCUGGAAGACAUUCAGAUUCACUUGAUUGAACAAAGAUACAGAUGUCUGAAUGAGGAUUAUGGCAUUCAGUGCAUACAAGCAGCUUGCAAACUUCUAGAGAAGAUCUGCAAAAAAGAAAGGCGAACUGAUAUUCCUGUUGCUUGCAUGAACCUUGUGGCCUCUGUAUCAGACUUUGCCCAGACUACACAACAAACAGACUCUUUUUCUGAGAAGACUCAUGAGUUACUCAGUGAUGCCAAGCAAACUGUCAGAGCGUGGAUUGGACAAACUUUUAAAGCCAAACUAUUGCAAAAAGGCUAUCUAUCACGUGUCAGCUUCACUCCAGAGAUUGAGGUAAGCAGAGCAAGUAUAUACAUACAAACUAACCAAUGGUAGAAUAUUUAACCUAUAUUAUUAUUAUUAUUAUUAUUAUUAUUAUUAUAUUUGUGCUUGUUCUGCUUUACAGAUGUGGAAUAAUAUUAUUGCCGUAGAUUUCAUGAGUAUGGCCUUCACUAAAGAAUGGAGAGAGACCUUCACACAGGACUUUGAGGGAAAAUAUCAACAGGUAUUCAUUACAAAAUUCCAUAGUGUGUGUCUAGUAGGUUUGGGAGUCAAGUAUUUUUACUGGUCCAGUAUUUUAUUUAUGUGUACUUUCUAACAUAUUAAUAAUCACAUGGUUUUUGAUUCAGUCAACGUUAUACAACAGAAUACUAUAUUAAAAUACUCAGACAGUGUUCCUGCACCACUACUGAAUUAGUGUCACAGCAGAAGAUUGCUUUUCAGAAUCAGUUUUCACCCAAAAAUUAAAAUUUGCUGUUAAUUUACUCACCCUCAGGUCAUCCAAGAUGUAGGUGACUUUUUUUCUGCAGUAGAACAAUAAAAAAGAUUUUUAACUGAAAACUUGCUCCUUG
ensembl:lncRNA